rnacentral:rRNA from 1 species
AGUGAACGCUGGCGGUAGGCCUAACACAUGCAAGUCGAACGGCAGCACAGUAAGAGCUUGCUCUUACGGGUGGCGAGUGGCGGACGGGUGAGGAAUACAUCGGAAUCUACUUUUUCGUGGGGGAUAACGUAGGGAAACUUACGCUAAUACCGCAUACGACCUACGGGUGAAAGCAGGGGAUCUUCGGACCUUGCGCGAGUGAAUGAGCCGAUGUCGGAUUAGCUAGUUGGCGGGGUAAAGGCCCACCAAGGCGACGAUCCGUAGCUGGUCUGAGAGGAUGAUCAGCCACACUGGAACUGAGACACGGUCCAGACUCCUACGGGAGGCAGCAGUGGGGAAUAUUGGACAAUGGGCGCAAGCCUGAUCCAGCCAUGCCGCGUGGGUGAAGAAGGCCUUCGGGUUGUAAAGCCCUUUUGUUGGGAAAGAAAAGCAGCAGGUUAAUACCCCGCUGUUCUGACGGUACCCAAAGAAUAAGCACCGGCUAACUUCGUG